GGGCCGUUAGCUCAGUCGGUAGAGCAGCUGACUCUUAAUCAGCGGGCCGCAGGUUCGAGUCCUGCACGGCCCA
rnacentral:tRNA from 1 species